rnacentral:misc_RNA from 1 species
AACACUGUUAACCUGCGGUACCUGCGGAAGGAUCAUUACCGAGUCUUCGUACUCAAAACAACCCUUCUGUGGACCUGAAUAAAACCGUUGCCUCGGCAGGCGGCCCUACCUACGGGCCAGAUAGUUCGGCUGCCUCCAGGGAGGAAACCCUCCCCGAGGUGCUGGCGCCAGCCGCUGGCCCCAAACCAAAACUCUAGUAACUUUUACCUUCUGAGUUUUAAUGCAAGAAAUAAGUCAAAA